rnacentral:lncRNA from 1 species
AAAAAGACAGAUUCUUCCUAAAAUAAAUCUAAAUCUGUCUCCCGAUACUUUAAAGGGUGGCGUUCUCUGACAAUGAACAGUUGGUCUGUCUGCUCAGAAGUUCUCCUUGACCAAGGAUCUCAGGAUCAACUGACCAGCAGCUAUUGUCUAAAUCCUCUGCUCGCAUCUCCAAAAAAGGUGUAGGCUCUUGCAUAUGUUAAAGUAGAAACUUUAGAAGUUUGACUUUAACCCGAGUUUCUGAAACUCACUACAGAAAUCCAUUCCAGGCUUAUAGACUACAUAUAGGUGGGCUAUGUGUCUGCAUUCCCGUACCCUGUCUUCUUCAUAGCUGUUCAUACAAGGAAGACUAAGCUUGUUGUCACCGUUAGCUUUCCUCUAAGCAUUUCACCCUAAACUGAGUCUAUGAAAUAACUCCUAGAAAGAGGGGAAAGUGAAUAGCAGAAUAAAAAAAUGACUAACAAUGGUAUCCUCACAGGGAAAACAUGACCCGCCAAAGUUCUAGCUAAGCAAUUGUGGAGUGUCCCUGCUAGAAGUUGGCUCAGGCUUCCUCUGGGGCUGUUGUGGUCAGCUUUUUGAUAGAAUUACUGUACAUUUCAUUUUGACUCCCGUGACGUACACAGCUGCUGCACCCUAAUGAGAGUCCCGAGUUGUGUUGGCUUUGGAUUAGGAAAUUCUAGACACAGCUCGCCUGGCUCCUUUGACAGGAAAUGCUGUGAGAGGCUGGUGAUUUUCUGACCGAUAAUGGUUGGGAUCACCUUAGCCUGCCUGUGUUGUAGUUCUGGUUUUCUUAAAAAGCAAACCCCGCGAUAUGUUCUAUAAACCCUUAAGUAGGUUUAUGACUUAAAACUGUUUAAUUGUCAUCCAUGUAAUGCUUUUUCUCCAAAGGGUGGGGAUCUGAUAAGAGGAGAGACAAUCUAUUUCAGUCUAAUUACUGAGCAUAGAAGAAGAGAUCUUUAAGGGCUAGCGAGAUGAGAAGACUCAGUAGUUUAGAGACCCAAGGGUCUGAUGCCCUCUGGCUUCUGUGGACAUCGUAUGAAUGUGUGUGCUGCACAGAUACUCACAUAUGUUCACAUAUACAUAUGUAAAUAAAAAUAAUCUUUUUAUAAAAUUGUCUUUUAACAAAACAAAGUCCCCAGAAUUCUUUUCGAUUGGAAGAAUUUUGUAGUGAGAACCACAUUGAGAGACAGACAGACAGACAGACUGCUUUUCAAAAUUAUUUCUUCCUUCACUCCACCAACCAGAAGUUGCAAAGUAUUGUUUCUUCAUGCAAACCCAUAGCUGCGAGCCAAGUGUCGCAAUCGUGCCUGCCUCUAACACCAGGAAGGAAAAUGGAGAGAUUUCUAAGCCACCUUGGGCAACACAGGAGGACCCUGUCUCAAAAAUUUUAAAAAGU